AUGGCAACCAACAAGUCUAUACCUCCUCUGGUACAGGACGACGUGCACAAGCCCCGGCCUUACCCGGCAAGCCAAUGGGGCGAUUUCUUCCUCAACUACAAGCCAUGUACGCCACAACAGUAUCAGUCCAUGGAGGGCACGGCUGAAAUUAAAAACGAAGAGGUGAGGCAAAUCAUAAUAGACACUGCUAGAUGCUCUGACCUACCUCAGAAGCUGGAGCUUAUCCACACGUUGCAGCGUAUUGGGAUUGACUAUCACUAUGGAAAAGAGAUUGAUGAACUGUUGUGUGAUAUAUACGAUGGGAAUAUUGAACUUUUGGACCUUCGUACAGCUUCCCUGCAGUUUUACUUGCUCAGGAAACAUGGUUACCGUGUAUCUUCUGAUGUGUUUUCCAAGUUUAUAGACAAGAAUGGAAAUAUUGAAAGCACUGACGCUACAUCCUUGUUGGGCCUCUACAAUGCUGCGUAUCUCAGAACCCAUGGAGAAAAAAUACUUGACGUUGCCAUUAUUUCCACAAAGAAGAUCCUAAAAUCUAUUGUUAACCAUUUGGACCCGACAAUUGCAGAAGAAGUUAGACACAGCCUGGAAACUCCACUUUUCAGGGGGACUCACAGAGUUGAAACGAAGCGCUACAUCUCGGCCUAUGAGAAAAAUUCUACAAGAAAUGAGACCAUAAUUGAGUUUGCAAAGCUAGACUACAACCUAGUGCAAGGUCUGUACUGUGAUGAGCUGAAAGAUCUUACCGUAUGGUGGAACGGAUUUGACAUCGAAACUCAUAUAACUUGGGCGCGCAAUCGAAUGGUUGAGAUUCACUUUUGGAUGAUGGGAGUUCUCUUUGAGCCUCAUUAUUCAUACCCAAGAAUCGUGCUAACAAAACUGUUUACACUUGUCUCAGUUUUUGACGAUUUCUAUGACAAUUAUAGCACCACAGAAGAAAGCAACAUGUUCACUAAAGCAAUAAACAGGUGGGAUGAGCAUGCAGUUGAGCAAGCCCCAGCAUACAUGAGGUCUUUCUACAAGGGUACAAUUGCUUCCAUAAAUCAGAUUGAAGAGGAACUGAAACUUCAGAAAAACAAACAUGCUGAAUUGGUGAAAAAACUGUUUAUUGAUGCGGCAAACUGCUACCAUGCUGAGGUGAAAUGGCGUGACCAGAAGUACGUUCCAGCAAACCUCGAAGAGCACCUAAAAAUCUCUGCGCCUAGCACUAUAUGUAUGCAAAUACCAAACAUUGCAUUCAUAUUAAUGGGAGAUGUCACAUCAAGUGAGACUAUACAAUGGGCUUGGGCAUACCCACCAAUCAUCAAAGCCGUUUGCAUCAUUGCCCGUGUUAUGAAUGACAUUGUGUCCCAUGAGCGGGAACAAGCUUCGCAGCAUAUGGUAUCCACCGUGCAGACCUGCAUGAAUGAAAACGGGUGCACGGUAGAGGAGGCAAAUGAAAAGCUGAAGGAAGUAGUCGAGCAAGCAUGGAUGGACAUCUGUGAGGGCUGCAUACAGCCGACGGUUCAUCCGUUGGUGGUCUUGUCAAGAGUGGCCAAUCUCGCACGGGUGACAGAUUUCCUAUACAAGCACGAUGAUGGAUACACCCUCGGCUAUUCGGUCAAAGGGACAUUGGACUCAGUAUAUGUGCAUCCAAUGGAUGUUUGA
rnacentral:rRNA from 1 species